rnacentral:lncRNA from 1 species
GCNUGUCUGGAGCAACAGCUGGGAUGCUGUGCGGAAGGAAAGCUGGCUAAUGAUGCAAAUGAGCGGAAGCUCGCUUCAGCCUUGACGGCAAGAGGCAGAUCAAGGAAUAGUACAGCGACACCGGGACCAUCCAGAUGGCCACUUCUGGCUCUCUUCUGGACAUCUGGGGGACUGGAUGGGCAAAGGCGUGUGCCUCUGUUGGGNCCCCAACCCGGCCCAAUCCCCGACCAAGCACAGGAAGAGAGCGGAAGGGGCCUUUCUUAGGAGCGGAAACUUCAAGAGUUGAAAUCUGGANGCAAAGAUGGAGCCCUCUGUGCCUGAACUUUGCGAGGAGGAAAGCGAAGAUAGGAGCCACGUGCGUUCNGGUAAAAAGGGUAAAGUGGGGGGAUCUCGUUGUGCUUAUAUGCCAUUUUGGCAACACCCGUAGCCCAUACUCGUUGAUGAACUUCCAAGGCACUGGUCUUCCAUUUGGCCAGAAAUGCAACGGUAGCCACCAGCCUCUCUUUGCUGAAUUUCAUUCCUAAAGAGGUUGGAACCCUCUGAUUAAAAAAAUCCAGAUCUUGUAACUACACGUUCAGGUAGUCCUCGUUCACACAAACUGACAAGGGGAUCUACGCUGCUUUGGGCAGCACUUGGCAGUNGUGGGUAUGAACGUGAUCGUACGCCGCUCUUGGCCUAAAUGUUACUGCAGGGAGGAGACAAAUCUGUUAGGGAGGAUUAGCACAUCAGCCAGAAGAGCAGGCUAGAAUUGUCCUUUCCUGUUACCUGGUUUGUGGCACACUGAUUGAAACAGGGGGCUAGUGGGCACACAUAAAACCAGGCAAUUCCUCGCUUUAGAACUGCUCUAGCCUUCACUGCACCCUCAGCAGACCAAGGUGAAAUAUUUUCCACUCUUCAGCUGGGCUGCUCACACAGUGGCCUGCCAGAUAUGCCCAAGCUACAGUUCCCAUGGUUGGCAUGCAGUGAACCCCUCUGGGGCAUGACUGUGAUCCCUCUGCACCAUGGCGAAAUUUUUUUGAUCUGGAGCGAAAGUCAAGCGCUUCUAGGUUGGACCCAAAACGGUUUUGCCUUGCCACAGAAAGAUCACACGCAAAUGGCAGAACGCUGCUCAGUUCUGUUGNUGCUCUCUGCCUGCCCAACUGAAGGAGUUAUAAGAAUAUAAGAACAUAAGAGGAGCCCUGCUGGAUCAAGCCAUAGCCAAUCUAGUCCAGCAUCCCGUCUCACACAGUGGCCCACCAGUUGAUUCUGGGCAUCUCAAGCAGAAGACAAAGGCGAAACCUUCACCUGCUCUUGAGUUUCUGCAAAUGAGCUUUAGAGACAUCCUGCCUGUCUCUCCACCCUGGAGGCAGUAUCUAGGCAUCCAUUCUAAUAACCAUUGAUAUACCUGACCUCCAUGAAUCUGUCCAAUCUGUUCUUAAAGCAAUCCAGGCUGACUGCUGUCACACCUCUUCCGGUUAGUAAAAACCAUAGGCCAAUGACCCUCUGGGUGAAAAAAUACUUCCCCUUGUGCAGGAGAAAACUUUUUUUUCUUUAUCCACCUUUUCCACUCCAUGCAGGAUUUCAUACACUUCAAUCAGGNCNCCUCUUAAACGCCGUCUUUCAAGGCUAAAGAGGCCAAGGUGUUGCAGCCUGAUUUCNUAUGGGAGGUGUUCCAGCCCCUUGAUCAUUCUAAUUGGUAUUUUUAAAGGUAAAGUGUAGAAAAGGACAACUACUUCUGAGUUGGGUCACAUCUUGGAGGUGGCAAUUAGAGCAAUCCCUGAUCUGCAAAUUUACCUCUCCUCAACAAAUGGCUUAGCUUCUUGCAACAUUGUGCUGCCUUUGCUUUCUAGACUUCUAAAACCUCUUCAACACUCACUUUCUCCCUUUUUUUUUUUUUGCAAAAGAGAAGGAUUUUCUGUACCCUGUACUGCCAAGGAACACUGCAUUAAGAGGAAAGCUGAAGACAUUUGAAAUACAAUUUGGAAUUCUUCACAGCACUUAAAAAAGAGAGAGAGAGAGUAGGAAAAAUCAUUAAAAACAUAGCAUUGCACAAAUGAUGUCUAGAAGCUCCAAAUAGAAAACAGACACUGGGAGCAUUAGAAUUCUUCCAGAAAUAUAAUGUAAUGUUUUGUGAGGGGAAACAGGGACUUUUGCUACAAAACUGAAACAGUGCAGAGAAAUGAACAGACAUACAGCCCGGCCAACCUGGUCCAUCCCAGAUGUUCUGAACUACAAGGAAGUCCUACAUGGGCAUUAUGGGUCAAAACAUCUGAAAGGCACCAGCUGGAUGGUAUGUCAGAANUUAUAUCAAAAACCUGACUUUAAACCCAACAUUCGUGACAUCCUGUACAUGNUGGCGGCUGGCGGCUUUAAGCCCAGGUGUUCGGGCCCCNUGNGAAGCGCGCCAUGGCUGUUCGCGGGGCCUCCGUACUGCCUCAGCAGGUCGUGCGGGGCCUGAACACCUGGGAUUAAAGCCGCUGCCCGUACAUUAAAAUUAAAGCUGAGAGCAAUCGAAUGUGACGGGAGUAAAGGGUCAGGAUUAAAUAAUGAAGCAGUCAAACAGUAAAUGUAAACAAGAACAGAAGACUGAGCAAGCAACAUGAGUGAAAGGGGAAAAAUAAACCAAAACAGAACAGAAACA